AUGAUCAGCCACAUUGGGACUGAGACACGGCCCAAACUCCUACGGGAGGCUGCAGUGGGGAAUAUUGGACAAUGGGGGCAACCCUGAUCCAGCAAUGCCAUGUGUGUGAAGAUGGCCCUAGGGUUGUAAAGCACUUUAGUUGGGGAGGAAAGCCUCAAGGUUAAUAGCCUUGGGGGAGGACGUUACCCCAAGAAUAAGCACCGGCUAACUCCGUGCCAGCUGCCGCGGGACUACGGGGGGUGCACGCGUUAAUCGGAAUUACUGGGCGUAAAGGGUCUGUAGGUGGUUUGUU
rnacentral:rRNA from 1 species